rnacentral:rRNA from 1 species
ACUCAAAGGAAUUGACGGGGACCCGCACAAGCGGUGGAUGAUGUGGAUUAAUUCGAUGCAACGCGAAAAACCUUACCUACCCUUGACAUGCCCGGAAGCGUUAAGAGAUUAACGUGUGCUCGCAAGAGAACCGGAGCACAGGUGCUGCAUGGCUGUCGUCAGCUCGUGUCGUGAGAUGUUGGGUUAAGUCCCGCAACGAGCGCAACCCUUGUCAUUAGUUGCUACGCAAGAGCACUCUAAUGAGACUGCCGGUGACAAACCGGAGGAAGGUGGGGAUGACGUCAAGUCCUCAUGGCCCUUAUGGGUAGGGCUUCACACGUCAUACAAUGGUCAGGACAGAGGGUUGCCAAGCCGCGAGGUGGAGCUAAUCUCACAAACCUGAUCGUAGUCCGGAUUGCAGGCUGCAACUCGCCUGCAUGAAGUCGGAAUCGCUAGUAAUCGCGGAUCAGAAUGCCGCGGUGAAUACGUUCCCGGGUCUUGUACACACCGCCCGU